AGUUUGUUGGUAGGGUAAUGGCCUACCAAGACUAUGAUCAAUAGCUGAUUUGAGAGGAUGAUCAGCCACAUUGGGACUGAGACACGGCCCAAACUCCUACGGGAGGCAGCAGUGGGGAAUCUUGCACAAUGGAGGAAACUCUGAUGCAGCGAUGCCGCGUGAGUGAAGAAGGCCUUUGGGUUGUAAAGCUCUUUCGUCGGGGAAGAAAAUGACUGUACCCGAAUAAGAAGGUCCGGCUAACUUCGUGCCAGCAGCCGCGGUAAUACGAAGGGACCUAGCGUAGUUCGGAAUUACUGGGCUUAAAGAGUUCGUAGGUGGUUGAAAAAGUUAGUGGUGAAAUCCCAGAGCUUAACUCUGGAACUGCCAUCAAAACUUUUCAGCUAGAGUAUGAUAGAGGAAAGCAGAAUUUCUAGUGUAGAGGUGAAAUUCGUAGAUAUUAGAAAGAAUACCAAUUGCGAAGGCAGCUUUCUGGAUCAUUACUGACACUGAGGAACGAAAGCAUGGGUAGCGAAGAGGAUUAGAUACCCUCGUAGUCCAUGCCGUAAACGAUGUGUGUUAGACGUUGGAAAUUUAUUUUCAG
rnacentral:rRNA from 1 species